UAUUUUUGGGCACACUCGGUAUAUGUCACACAUAUUAAAAUUUUUAUCGUGGUCGGAUAUUUAUAUAUUAUACAUCUGUAAUCUCUAAAGUGCGCCUCAGAGGGGAAGAUUUGAAAGCGAAGAGAAAUAUGAUUUUAAUACAAAUUCAUUUAAUUAAAUCAUUAAUUCUUUGCAAUCGAUUUCUUAGAGAAAAGGCCACUUCUUGUGAUGUUAAUUAAAAUCAAAAAGAGUACUCCGCCUUAAGGUGGAUCAUCGUAACUCAAAACGUAUUUAAAUGUGAACAACAUAUUACUUUUGAGAUUGACAUUUGUCAUAACAAACCAGCGCGACUAGAAUCUGACUCCAGUUACAAUUUUAAAUUAUGACUAACAAUUAAACCCAGAAAAAUAUUCUUAAUAAUUUUUUAAAAAAUUUUUAAAAUAGAAUAUUAUGGCUACAAUGAACUUGACAAAAGGUAUUUUGGAAAAGAUGCAAGCCCUUUAGACGUAUAUGACGAAGGAAAAGGUGAAAUUUGGGAUAAAUCACAUACCGGUUAUUUUGCAGACCAGAAGAAAAAUGAUGUAAAUGGUUUUUGGGACGAUCUGGAUAAUUCACAUGUUGGAAAAGAAAAGGGAGAUAAACGAAAUCGGGGAAUGAAGAGCAAUAGUAGAUGGCGCUGAAUGUUCAUAUAUUCCCGAUACUAUUUGCGACUGGAGAGGAGAACGACUUAGGGGUCUUCCAGGAUCUGGAAAAUUUAUAGAUUGUAUUACUCCUUAUAAACCGAUUUUCGGAUGCGGGCCUGGUAGAAUCUUUCAUCAAGGAGUUCAGAAUUGCAGAAUGAUUAAAAGUAAUUUUAAAUGCCGCUGUUAUACAACAUAUAUAACAACUACCUUGAUUGCAACCACCACUACCCCGAUCCUAACUACCCCUACUCCGAUCGCAACCAGCACUACCCCUAUCGUAACUACCACUACACCGAUCGCAAGCACCACUACCCCGAUCCUAAAUACCCCUACUCCGAUCGCAACCACCACUACCUCGAUCGUAACUACCACUACACCGAUCGUAACCACCACUAUUCCGAUCCUAACUACCUCUACUCCGAUCGCAACCACCACUACACUGAUUGCAACCACCACUACACCGAUUGCAACCAUCACUACUCCGAUCGUAACUGGUAUUACUCAGUUCCAUUUUAGUAGCGGUUGCGCUGACUUAACCACCCUUUUUUAAACAUCAAUUCCAUUUGGCAAAAUUUAUUAUCCACCUUACCUUUUUCAUUUUUAGAAUAGGUGGGCUAAAGGAAAAUAUUUUAAUAUAUUAUAGUCCUAUUAUUUAAG